UGAUAAAAUUGUCCUUCUGCAGGCCAAUUGCUCAGCAGAAGUCCCUCCUGCAGGAAUGUCACCGUGUGCUUCCCACAGCAAGGGAGCCAGGAGGCUCCUGCUGCUACCAGCAGAUGGUUGGAGGGUCAGAGACCACAGUGCCAGGGCUUUCUGGAUGGCUUCCCUGGGUGCAGCUCCCCUGGCUGUAUUGAAUGAUUCCUCACCAGCCACAGUGGUGGAGAGCCUAGACCUCAUGUGGACACCCAGCACUAGAUGCCAAAUUCUUUUAAUCUUAAUUUCACCCCGAAUUGCCUCUUGUGUGCGCUGGACCAGGUCACAUCGCCCUCAAGUGGAGAAG